UACGUAGGGCGCAAGCGUUAUCCGGAAUUAUUGGGCGUAAAGAGCUCGUAGGCGGUUUGUCGCGUCUGCCGUGAAAGUCCGGGGCUCAACUCCGGAUCUGCGGUGGGUACGGGCAGACUAGAGUGAUGUAGGGGAGACUGGAAUUCCUGGUGUAGCGGUGAAAUGCGCAGGAUAUCAGGAGGAACACCGGUGGCGAAGGCGGAUCUCUGGGCCGUAACUGACGCUGAGGAGCGAAAGCAUGGGGAGCGAACAGG
rnacentral:rRNA from 1 species